rnacentral:lncRNA from 10 species
UUUACCGGGAAAGACAGGAGCCAGUGAGAGGAGCUAUGAAAAGAGAAGCAGAUGUGAUAGAGAGAUUGAAAGAUGCUGUACCCCUGGCCUUGAAGAUACAAGACUUGGCCACAAGCAGUGGGGACACAGCUAAACCAUAUCAGUCUCAUUGAUCAUUUUUAUAUUAGUUACAUAUAGCAAUGAAAAUAUUUUUUAUCUAUUCCUUAAAUGAAAUAUAUCACUAAAGUAGAGAGAUAUAUAUAUAUAGAAAAGUAAUUCCUUUAUUCAACUAAUAAAUACUUAUUGAGCUCAUGCUAUAUACUAGGGCUCAUUUUAGGUGUUAGGGAUAUCCAAUGAAUAAAACAGGAAAUAAUUCUGGCCUUCAAAACAUAUAUAUAUGUUUUUCAGUACUUAAUAACACUCACACCUUUCUAGUUGUUAAUCUCUCCCUUUUCAGAAUUCAG